AAACUGAAGAGUUUGAUCCUGGCUCAGAUUGAACGCUGGCGGCAUGCCUUACACAUGCAAGUCGAACGGCAGCACGGGUGCUUGCACCUGGUGGCGAGUGGCGAACGGGUGAGUAAUACAUCGGAACAUGUCCUGUAGUGGGGGAUAGCCCGGCGAAAGCCGGAUUAAUACCGCAUACGAUCUAGGGAUGAAAGCGGGGGACCUUCGGGCCUCGCGCUAUAGGGUUGGCCGAUGGCUGAUUAGCUAGUUGGUGGGGUAAAGGCCUACCAAGGCGACGAUCAGUAGCUGGUCUGAGAGGACGACCAGCCACACUGGGACUGAGACACGGCCCAGACUCCUACGGGAGGCAGCAGUGGGGAAUUUUGGACAAUGGGCGAAAGCCUGAUCCAGCAAUGCCGCGUGUGUGAAGAAGGCCUUCGGGUUGUAAAGCACUUUUGUCCGGAAAGAAAUCCUUGGCUCUAAUACAG
rnacentral:rRNA from 1 species